AUGUCGGAGGGGUGCACUCUAAACGAGGAACGUGAAUGCAACAAAGAGCAAUGUUCUCCGCAAAGGCAUAGAAACCAAGUCAAAGGAAGGAGGAUUCAGAAGGCAGCAGCGAGGCAAGAUUACAUGGCAACCCUGUGGCCGAUUUGUGCUUUGCUUUGGCUUGCCAUAGGCAUUUCAUGUGAUUCAUCUCCAACCAUUGUUCAGACACCAGAGUCGGUGAUACAGCAGCCAAACAGCAAUGUAUCUCUUAAUUGCAACGUAAAUGGGGCACCGAACCCCAAUAUCUACUGGUACAGGCAAAUUCUCGAAGGGCGGAUUCAGCUGCUUGCCUAUUCUGUUGCCGUGGGAUCCUCAUAUGCCGAGGGCCCAGACCAUAUCGAAGGAUCAAGACUUGAAGACACCAAGUUCUUCCUGAGCAUCAAAAACCUCAUGGCCAAUGACACUGGGAUAUAUUAUUGUGCCUGGAGCCGACACACUGUGCAAAGUGAAUAUAACACCUCUACAAAAACCCUCCUCCCUGCUUGUGGCUCCGUCUGCUCCCACACCGCAGGGAAGUGGAGAAAAGGUGUCUCCUUUGGGGCCUCAAGUUCCUUCCUGUUGAAAUCACAAGGGACAGGGCCCACAUUAAAUGCUUCCUGAAAAUCGCGGCUCAGCUGAACAAUGCACAACGUGACGAAUUCGUGGGGUGCCUGAACACACACCCCUUCUAAUUUCUGGAUGCCAGAGACUGGGUUUAGCAUGGUGUAAUACAGACCAAACCAGUCUUCCCGUGAGUCGUCAAGCAAUAAGAGACAGGGUGAUGAUCCAUGAAGGAAGCCAUCAACAAAGGACUGACUCUGCGACAGAUGCAGAGGAGUGAAGCAGCACUUGGGUGAACAACACGUGAAAACAGCUGCUGCAGAUAUAAUAAUAAUAAUAAUAAUAAUAAUAAUAAUAAUAAUAAUAAUAAUUUAUUUAUAUCCUGCCCAUCUGGCUGGGUUUCCCCAGGCACUCUGGGUGGCUUCCAACAAAGAUUAAAAAUACAUUAAAACAUGCAUUAUGUGUACAGUGGUACCUCGGGUUACAAACGCUUCAGGUUACAAAUGCUUCAGGUUACAGACUCCGCUAAACCCAGAAAUAGUACCUCGGGUUAAGAACUUUGCUUCAGGACGAGAACAGAAAUUGUGCUCUGGCGGCUCUGCAGCAGUGGGAGGCCCCGUUAGCUAAAGUGGUGCUUCAGGUUAAUAACAGUUUCAGGUUAAGAACGGACCUCCGGAACGAAUUAAGUUCUUAACCAGAGGUACCACUGUAUAUGUGUUAUGCGUUCAAAACAAUAUAUCCGUCAAGACCCACUAGAUGGCACCCUGUCCCUUUACACUAUUGACAAAGGGCUGCUGGAAGUUAUUUUUGUGGCCAUAAACCCACCUGGAAUGUCACCUCCCAAGCAGAGAUGGAAAGUGAUCCCUUGCAGCAACAAUUUGGGAUUUCUAAACAGAACACUUAUGUGAGUAGCAGCUUGUAUCAGCUAAGACUUUACCUGUCAGUUUAGGGAGAAGUUAU